UUUGUUUUUACUUCAAACAGAUAACAACACAAAGAUUAGUAAUCAAGUAGUAAAAUCUUUAUUUCGCCCAGGCGGGUGUGGCUGUCACUCUUACAGUAUGUAAAAUACAGACUAUACAGAGAAACAUAGAAACAUAGAAA